CGGAGGGUGCAAGCGUUAUCCGGAUUCACUGGGUUUAAAGGGUGCGUAGGUGGCUUUAUAAGUCAGUGGUGAAAGCCCGGAGCUUAACUCCGGAACUGCCAUUGAUACUGUUUAGCUUGAAUCAGGUAGAGGUGGAUGGAAUAUUACAUGUAGCGGUGAAAUGCUUAGAUAUGUAAUAGAACACCGAUUGCGAAGGCAGUUCACUAUGCCUGCAUUGACACUGAGGCACGAAAGCGUGGGGAUCAAACAGGAUUAGAUACCCUGGUAGUCCACGCCCUAAACGAUGUAUACUCGACAUCAGCGAUAUACUGUUGGUGUCUAAGUAAAAGCGUUAAGUAUACCACCUGGGAAGUACGACCGCAAGGUUG
rnacentral:rRNA from 1 species